AGAGUUUGAUUCUGGCUCAGAACGAACGCUGGCGGCGUGGAUAAGACAUGCAAGUCGAGCGGGAAUGCGAGGGUAGCAAUAUCAUCGCGUUCUAGCGGCGAAAGGGUGCGUAACACGUGGGUAAUCUGCCAUGAAGUUGGGAACAACUCCGAGAAAUCGGGGCUAAUGCCGAAUGUGGAUGUUGGGAUUAUUUCCUGAUGUCUAAAGCCGGGGACCGUAAGGCCUGGCGCUUCAUGAUGAGCCCGCGGCCUAUCAGCUAGUUGGUGGGGUAACGGCCUACCAAGGCGAAGACGGGUAGCUGGUCUGAGAGGACGACCAGCCACACUGGAACUGAGACACGGUCCAGACACCUACGGGUGGCAGCAGUCGAGAAUUUUUCACAAUGGGCGAAAGCCUGAUGGAGCGACGCCGCGUGGGGGAUGAAUGGCUUCGGCCCGUAAACCCCUGUCAUUCGCGAGCAAUGCCUUCCCGAUAAUACCGGGACGGUUGAUCGUAGCGAAAGAGGAAGGGACGGCUAACUCUGUGCCAGCAGCCGCGGUAAUACAGAGGUCCCAAGCGUUGUUCGGAUUCACUGGGCGUAAAGGGUGCGUAGGCGGUCGGGUAAGUCUGACGUGAAAUCUUCAAGCUCAACUUGGAAACUGCGUCGGAUACUAUUCGGCUAGAGGAAUGGAGGGGAGACUGGAAUACUUGGUGUAGCAGUGAAAUGCGUAGAUAUCAAGUGGAACACCAGUGGCGAAGGCGAGUCUCUGGACAUUUCCUGACGCUGAGGCACGAAAGCCAGGGGAGCAAACGGGAUUAGAUACCCCGGUAGUCCUGGCCCUAAACGGUGCGCAUUUGCUGUAAGAGGAAUCGACCCCUUUUGUGGCGAAGCUAACGCGUUAAAUGCGCCGCCUGGGAAGUACGGCCGCAAGGUUAAAACUCAAAGAAAUUGACGGGGGCCUGCACAAGCGGUGGAGUAUGUGGCUUAAUUCGAUGCAACGCGAAGAACCUUACCU
rnacentral:rRNA from 1 species